UUGUUGCAAUUUUGUUUUUCAUAAUUUUCAAAAGUGAAUGAUCUUUCUAAUGUUUAAGGAUAUUUCAAGCCUUUCACUUCCUGCCAAUUAAAUAUAAUAACUAAACUGCGGAUUUUCAUGGAUUUAUAGGAAAUUUGAAAGUGGAAAAUUGUACAGAAUGCGCGUAAUAUGAAAAAGACUAUAUAAGAUAUCAAAAGUAUAGUGCUUUCUAUGAUACUUGAUAGGUUCUUUCCAUUUUCUUACUCAUAUUCUUUAUUUUUUAAAUUCUAUUCUGAAAAAUAUGAAUUUGGAUAAAAAUUCACGUUUUAGUUAUGACAAUUUCGCUUUUCACACCGAAGAUGGAUUAUGCUUCUAAUGUUUAAAGGUAUCUCGUACUUUCUAUAAUAAAACUCCUGCCAGGUUUAAUUCUCACGAAUCGAAACCUGCACCCUUCGUUCUGCAUAAAGAACCUGAAAGAAAACGACCGUUACCAUCUCUCCCCUCUUCGCACAACACACAGUCGUCAUCGGUUCUGGUUGCUGCGUGUCCGACUAACCGAGCAUCCCCUUUUUGCCAGCCCGGAAACAGGUAAAAAUCAGGGUUUGCGCGCUACCUUUGACCCCGUGGGAUCGUAGAAACAGGGUGUGUAUUGUGCGAAGAAAUUUUCUCACGGGUCAUCGUCGUAACACGCGUGCACCCGUCGAAACGACUAUUUAAGAGCCGCUACCUGCCUUCGAUCUCCGCAGAAGUAGCUCGCUACCCGAGCAGAAAGGUCACAGAGUGUCCUGGAGGAAGAUUCGCGGCGAUAUCUUCCGGCAAUGGUCUCGAGGACCAGCUCGAAGAUGGGAUCAUCGGAUGGAGACACGCAGUUUAAAGUUUAAAGAAUAACCGAAAUCGAAGAAAUAGGAAGACUAAGAUCAGACGGAACAAAAUUUCGUUAAAUUCGGGAAAGAGGAAGGAGGAAAUGAAGAAAGACGGCUACUACUGUGAAAAAUAGAAGCGUUAAAGGGCGCGUCAAAGGCUCGACAGGAUCCAAAGCACGGAACCCCGAUUGUUGAAGUUUCGAGAACGUUUAGAGAAGUACAAAACGGAUGACGAAGGAAGAAGAGAAAGAGGAAGAAAAAAGUUCAAUUUAAGGGAAAGAAAGGAAACGCGAAAAAGGAUAAGAGAAAUUUUAAAAAAUUAGAGAUUCCUGAGCCGAAUGCGCGUCGGAAGAUCAUUGAACAAAAUUUCAUAGUCUGAAAACAGAAAUGAGAAAUAGUAUAAAUUUGAGAAUCGUUGUACCGAAAAAAAUGAAUAAACCGAAAAACGAAGAGAAGCUUUUGAAACUCUUUCAAAUAAAAACAAAAGUCCAAGAAGCAACGACGAUCGAUCGUCAAACAUAGUGUAAUGAUAAUAACUCUAUUGAUUGGCAUUUCAGUUACAUCGAAAUUCUACGAUUUUAACAAAAUCUCAAAGUUAAUGAAACGUAGCAGAUAAAAUAGAGUACAAGUAGCGUUAAAGUCGAAGCAAAAUUCAAAACCGAACAAGCUAUAUUUAAAUUAAAGCUUUCAGAUACCUCGUGAAUUAAAAUUAAAGGUUAUCAGCUGAAACUGCCAGAAAAGAAAAGAAC
rnacentral:lncRNA from 1 species